GACGAACGCUGGCGGCGUGCUUAACACAUGCGAGUCGAACGGAAAGGCCCCCUUGUGGGGUACUCGAGUGGCGAACGGGUGAGUAACACGUGAGUAACCUACCCUUGACUUUGGGAUAACUUCAGGAAACUGGGGCUAAUACCGGAUAGGAGCUCCUGCUGCAUGGUGGGGGUUGGAAAGUUUCGGCGGUUGGGGAUGGACUCGCGGCUUAUCAGCUUGUUGGUGGGGUAGUGGCUCACCAAGGCUUUGACGGGUAGCCGGCCUGAGAGGGUGACCGGCCACAUUGGGACUGAGAUACGGCCCAGACUCCUACGGGAGGCAGCAGUGGGGAAUAUUGCACAAUGGGCGGAAGCCUGACGCAGCAACGCCGCGUGCGGGAUGACGGCCUUCGGGUUGUAAACCGCUUUCGCCUGUGACGAAGCGUGAGUGACGGUAAUGGGUAAAGAAGCACCGGCUAACUACGUG
rnacentral:rRNA from 1 species